UGAUGGGUAGAGCAGAUGGCAGCUCGCUGGGCUCAUAAUCCGGAGGUCGCUGGUUCGAUUCCAGCCCCCGCAA
rnacentral:tRNA from 1 species